UACGUAGGGGCUAGCGUUAUCCGGAAUUACUGGGCGUAAAGGGUGCGUAGGUGGUUUCUUAAGUCAGAGGUGAAAGGCUACGGCUCAACCGUAGUAAGCCUUUGAAACUGGGAAACUUGAGUGCAGGAGAGGAGAGUGGAAUUCCUAGUGUAGCGGUGAAAUGCGUAGAUAUUAGGAGGGACACCAGUUGCGAAGGCGGCUCUAUGGACUGUAACUGACACUGAGGCACGAAAGCGUGGGGAGCAAACAGGAUUAGAUACCCUGGUAGUCCCUGAG
rnacentral:rRNA from 1 species